UACGUAGGGUGCAAGCGUUGUCCGGAAUUAUUGGGCGUAAAGAGCUUGUAGGCGGUUUGUCGCGUCUGCUGUGAAAAUCCGGGGCUCAACCCCGGACUUGCAGUGGGUACGGGCAGACUAGAGUGUGGUAGGGGAGACUGGAAUUCCUGGUGUAGCGGUGAAAUGCGCAGAUAUCAGGAGGAACACCGAUGGCGAAGGCAGGUCUCUGGGCCACUACUGACGCUGAGAAGCGAAAGCGUGGGGGAGCGAACAGG
rnacentral:rRNA from 1 species